rnacentral:lncRNA from 1 species
AUUUAAGACUUUACUUUAUUCAGCAAAAUCAUUUAUUUACACAGUGGGGAAUGCUGGUUUGAUUCUGUCAAUGAAAUAAAAACAAGGUGAACAGAGACAAUACUGAAUUGUGUAUGUAUUUUGUACCAGAGGUGACCAACUGUUUCCUUACCUGUGUCAGGAACACCAAGAGCAACGGUAUCACGAGACACUGGUUAACAAUACACCACAAAGGUCCAGUGACGCCCUGGGCUUCCAAUGCAAUCACCAACUUUUUCGAUAAGGAUCUGACUUAUGGACGUUAAGAGUGGGUUGGGAGGUGGGCGGGCAGGGGGAGGGGAGGGAAGUGUAGAGCAUAGCCCCUAUUAAAACAAGCUAACUUUCCAGAUUUUCCAAAUU